GUGCCCACGUUUCUGCCUGCUCUACUCCACUUUGUCUCGGUUUUCCCCAGGGAGUUUCGGUUUGGGUUUUAUUUCCUUAAAUUUUUGAGGGAUCUGGAGAGUUGGAACAGAGACAGGCGUAAUUUCCUUUCCUUUUUUGGUGACACGUCGUUGGUUAUUGGCAGAUUGCUACUCUGGCUUUACUCUUGGGCGGUGCUGCCAUCAUUCUUAUCGCAUUCCUGGUGGGUUUGAUUUCUAUCUGCGUGGGAUCUCGAAGGCGCUUCUACAGACCUGUUGCUGUCAUGCUUUUUGCAGCAGUUGUUUUACAGGUUUGCAGCCUGGUCCUUUACCCAAUCAAGUUCAUUGAAACUGUGAGCUUGAAAAUUUACCAUGAGUUCAACUGGGGUUAUGGCCUGGCCUGGGGUGCAACUAUAUUUUCAUUUGGGGGUGCCAUCCUUUAUUGCCUGAACCCUAAGAACUACGAAGACUACUACUAGAACCAACAGUCUCACAUUUUAAAAAACAACCAACCAUCCAACAAAAGGAUUACGUCUGUUAUCUUUUCUAACUCACUGUUUUCUAAAACACAUGUGGAGCAUCAAGCAGUUUCCUCAGUUGACUUAAUAUCUUUUGCCUUUUGGCUGUCAACAUCAUAACCAGCUUUUACAUCCAUUUUAGGGACCUGCACAAAUUAAGACAGCUGAUUAGACAUAGGCAAAUGCUGCAAACUUCCAAUAUGUUCAUGUCAUUUUUCUUGACAAGUGAAGGGUCUAUAUAGGCAAUGCUUUGGCAAUCAACUUCUCCCCGGGAAGGGAGUCAAGACUUGGAGACAUGUGCUUUUCAUUGUGUGGUUAGCAAUUGUGCCUCAGCCAUAUCUAGAAUGAGGAAAAUUGAGAGUCUCUGCUUUCCCUGGGGCAACUAGAAAGAAAUAUGCAUGAGUUGCUUUUGUCCGAAGUACCCUUUAAAUCAUUUACCAAACAUUACUGCAAAUAAUUGUGCGUAUGUAACAAGCUUAAAUAUUUUUAUAGAAGGUGAACCAUUAGUAUAAAUGGUAAUAAGUUGUUCCCUACUCCAAUACAUGCAUUUGCCUAUUACACAUAAAAGUAAUAUUUGCUCUAGUGAAGUGAUUUGAACACUAACCUUGUACACGUUAAGAGGCUUAGAUUGGUAUUCACACUUACUUACUGUACAAAAGUACAUAUACCUUAAAGCUUUUGCUCUGUGUUCUCUACUGUUUCACUGGAAAGUUUUAAUAGAAUUGUAUAAGAAGAAAAAUUGAAAUGGUGUUAAUCUGAAAAUUCAUGAUUCUUCUGCAAGCACUGUAGUUCAAAAGAGAGUAGCAAUUAGAAUGAUCAUUUUGUUAAAAGUUCAGUAAAAUAGAAGGCUGCUUUUUUUCAAGUACUUUAAAUGUCUUUAUUAAAAAAUAAAAGAAUAGUGAUAGAUUUAUAGAAAUGUCUAAAUGUCUUAGUAGAGGAGUAGAAUUCAUCUGGUUAUCACCUGGUCCUCUGAAGUUAACUAAUGGGCUAACUGAUUUGUGCACACAAUUAUGAUGGAUUUAUGUUAAGGGAAUCAUUUGUUGGCUGUUCAAAUGGAAGGAAAUAUCAAUGAUAGGGAAUAAGUUUGCAACUAAUCUCACACUGCAAACUUGCAUUAAUCCUGUUUAAUACACAAAUUUGGAUAGUUUAAUUAUAAACAUAUUUUUAUAUCAAAUAAUACAGUUCUAAUAUAAAAGUUAUAGAUAGUUAUUUUUGUUAACAAAGACACUAAAACAGUAUGUCUUGGUUUUGGCCCUUUUGCACAAAGAAGCAUUGGAAAAAUCAUUUAGAACCUACUUAUGUUCUAUUGCGAAAUCCGUUAAGAGCAGGACCACAUCAAUAGUAUUUAAUAAUUUGCUUUACCUCCCAGAGCAUAGUUCUGCUUUCAGCUUGUCUUAAAAACUGUUGCCAGAACAACAGGGAAAAAAAUCUAUUUUAUUAUUCAAACGCUUAAAAAAAAAAAAACCCUUCCAUCUUGUGACUUCUCUAUAGAAUCACGAAGUAAAUAUGAAGAACCAGGCUUAAUCUUACUUUAGCAAUGACAGACAAGAGUAAUUAAAUGCAUCCUAGAGAAAAACCUUUAUAAAAGUAUAUGGUUCUCUAUAGACUCAUAAGAAACUAUGGGUGGAAGUUUUCCAGAAAGAUAUUAGUAUCACAGAACCUUCUGAAGCAAUUUUCUUGAGAAAUAGUGAAAUCUGGGCCAGACUGUCUUGCAGUUAAUUGCAUACUGUCAGAGCAGCAUGAGAAAUACGGUAUUUGUUGGAUAGGGAUUUUGGCUACUAAACACUCUCUAUUGUGAGAGAGUCUCUUUAUUCCUGAAUAACGGGAGAACAGUACUUUGGUGCUGACAUCAGUGAGGCACUUUUCUUAGUAGAAGAUGCAGUGUGCUGUUAGACCGAUAUCACAUCUCGAUUCUUACCAAGUUUUCAUUCUCUGUCAAUAUGACAGGCUGGAAAAUGACAGAAUAUGUUAUAGGCUAAGGCACACAUAUUUGCAGUACACUCAAAGGUCGAUUUCUUAUAUAACUUUUCUCCCCUUCCCAGUGAAGAGCCCUAUGUUAUAUUUCUACCAUCACUAAUAUUUGAAAGUAUUUCAUGACUAACAAGCUCAGUACAACACGAAAGUUAUUGCUCAUCCGAAAUACUGUUUCGUCUAUCAGAAUGAACACAUGUGAAUUUUCACCUACAUUAUGUCUUUGCAGCUUUAGGUUUGUUUGAUGCUUUCUUACAAGCAAAACUGUUGACUAUAAAUCCAUUGUUUAUCUUAGAGCGAUAUAUACGCAUACACACAUAGAGCAUAAAGUACUCAGCAGGGCUAGUUAUUUGGAUUUCUUGCACAACUAUUUAGCUUUUUGUAAGUUCAACAUGUAAAUUUUAAAGACAAAUAUAGAGAGACCUAUGUGUUUGAAAUAUAAAUGAUAUAUAUGGAUUAGCAUGUACCUGUAUAUUAUUAAACAUGCAAUGAACUGACUGGUAAGUGACGUCUAAUUGUAUGGCUAGCAAUGUAAUUUAUUCAGACUGUAUUUUUGUACAGAGCAGCGCACACUAACCUAUGCCUCUGUGUCCUCUUUAAUGCCUAAAACUGUGCCUAGAAAUUUCAUCUGUCUUAAAAAAUAAAAUUAUACUUCAUGCUGUUUAUGCUAUAGUUUCUCUACUGCCGUUCUAUAUUUAUUAUUUUUAAAUAUAUGACAUGUUUACUACUUAAAUAUGAAUCCAUGGUAUUCUGGUUAUUUUUUCUAACAGUCCUCUGGAGGAAACCUGUUUAUCACUCCAGUGGUUUUGAGUUUGCAGUUUCGCGAUCGGUUCUUCAUUUCAUGAUUUUGUAGCUGACAUGAAGUUAUCUAUGUGGAAAAAAUAAAAAUAAAAGUGGUUUCACUGAUGUGGUUUGACUUGUGUCUUCUCUCCUGUGUAGACCCAUUAACAGGUUCCCAAAUUACACGUCUGCAAGUUCAUGUUCUCCUUUAUAAUAUAUAGUACCCAGAAAACAGAACCUGCCAUGGCAUGCUCAUUUUAUGUAAAACUUUUUUAAACUAGUUUUGUUUCAUAUUCUCUCCCAAGAUUCUUUCUGUCCCCUGCAGUUGAGUUUUAUAAACACUAAGAGAAAGAAAGAAGGUUAAAUGUC